GCAGUAUUCCGGCACUGUCGCUGGCAUCUUUUUAAGAUGCGAGAGGAAAGUCCGGGCAGCAUAGGGCAUCCUGCUUCCGAAAGUAGAAGCUAUUGGUGACAGUAGAUGUAGGCAGAAGAGAAUGACCGCCAUCUUUGUUGAUGGUAAGGGUGAGAAGGUAGUGUAAGAGACUACCAGCAGGUGGGUGAUCACUUGGUUGUGCCGUUCAGGAGCUGCAAGUUCAUGUAAACCAUUGUUUGAGGGCUGCCCGCCCGAGCUUUAGCACAAUGGAGGGUAGAAUGCUUGAGUUGCAGGGUGACCUGCAAAUUAGAUAAAUGACAGGCAUCUUCCUAUUAUCGAAAGAUGAGGAAGAGACGGAACCCGGCUUAUAGGAUUACUGCUUUG
rnacentral:RNase_P_RNA from 1 species